GGGGUUGUGGCUCAGUGGUAGAGCGCUUGCCGGGCGCAUAGGAGGCACUGGGUUCAAUCCCCAGCACCACA
rnacentral:tRNA from 1 species